UUCCAGACUCCUACGGGAGGCAGCAGUGGGGGAUAUUGCACAAUGGGGGGAACCCUGAUGCAGCGACACCGCGUGGGUGAAGAAGUAUUUCGGUAUGUAAAGCCCUAUCGGCAGGGAAGAAAUUGGACGGUACCUGACUAAGAAGCCCCGACUAACUACGUGCCAGCAGCCGCGGUAAUACGUAGGGGGCAAGCGUUAUCCGGAUUCACUGGGUGUAAAGGGAGCGUAGACGGCCAUGCAAGCCUGGAGUGAAAGCCCGGGGCCCAACCCCGGGACUGCUCUGGGAACUGUGCGGCUGGAGUGCGGGAGGGGCAGGCGGAAUUCCUGGUGUAGCGGUGAAAUGCGUAGAUAUCAGGAGGAACACCGGUGGCGAAGGCGGCCUGCUGGACUGCAACUGACGUUGAGGCCCGAAAGCGUGGGGAGCAAACAGGAUUAGAUACCCUUGUAC
rnacentral:rRNA from 1 species